UUAUAAAAUGUUGUGUAUAAAUCUAGUACUUACUACACUAAUAAUUGGGAAGUCGAGACGAGUGAGUUAGGGAGGCCAGCCCAGAGAUUACCAGAGGAGGAGGAGGAGGAGGAGGAGGAGGACAGCCACUGCCACCCAUGUUUGGAAAGAGGAAAGCAGGCAAACUCUAAGAGGAGCUAUCAGUUGUCCCCCGUCAUUCCCCAAUCGCUUUUGGGGUUUUAGUCUUUGCAGAUUCCUUCCCUUUUUAAGGAACAAAGCAGUUCGAAAAAUUAUAUCAUCAUGUCACAAUUUUAAGUACAGAAGCAACUCAGCUGCUAAAACAGACAUGAACCAAACUCAAUUGAACAGCCAUUUCUCAAUUCAACUUUGUACGAGGGAUUCCUUUCCACUCUGCAGUCACAUUUAUCACCAACUCCAGUACUUCAGGAGCAAUGUCAACAGCAGAAACAUGUCUGUUUUUGAAGACAAUCAAGUUCCUAGCUCUCCACAACUGAUUUAUAACAGCAGCAAGCACCACUCUCCUUAUGGAUGGAGUAAAAGAGGUAAAGAUUAAAGAAAGAAGCCCCCAGCUGAUUCAUGGCUUUGUUUAUUUGCAGAAUAAAUCAGUUCUUGGAGAAAUGGGAGGAGGUGGCAGGAUUAGGUUAUGAUGUUUUAUUUGUUCGUCCUGUUAAAACAUAUUUGUCUUGAUGAUCAGUCUAAUUGCUUUUUAAUUGGCA